ensembl:lncRNA
GUUUGUGGUUUGUUUUGCAGCUUCCCAGAAAAAAAAAAAACUUUAAAAACAUGAGCAGCAAAAGGCUGGUAAAAGUUGUAACCAGCUCUGAAUAUCGCCAAAGAAUAUCACCUGCUGAUGAUUUACAGACUCCUGGAGACGUGCUGUUGAGUCUCAAAGAACUGGAAAAAGAACAACUCACCCAAUGUGCUGCUUGGGAAACAGCCCGUGUGCUAGGUGAACAUCUAGCACUAAAGGACCUAUUUAAUGAGUCCCACAUGUCUUCUGCGGUGUAAAGACUCCACGGCCCAGCCCAGACAAGGUAGUGGUGCUUCUGGACAUGCUCAGCAGAAGAACUGGAGGUGCCUUGGAAAGUGCCCUGAAGGAGGACCCAGUGGUAAGGACAGGCCCAAGGGAGGUGCUGUUUGUUCCAGUGGAAACCAUACAGAAGAGUGGGUUCUUUCAUCCUGCAACACUGUGUGACUCUGCCUCUUCUGACUGCACUUACUCCGCGCAGUGGACUCACCUCCAUCGUCUCCUGGCCUCUCCUUUUCCUCCAGCUUGCCCAAUUUCAAGCCUGAAAUCUGUGCUUGCAGUCUGCAGCCUCUUGUGGCACUGGAGGGCUGAGUGCUUUAGGUAGACAGGUGUUCGCUAGGUGAAAUGCAUCCCAGGGUAUUACAUCUGGAGGAAUCACAACAUCAUGCAUAUGGAGCAGGCCAAAUUUCUAGCAAACUCCACUGUGUCCUGAACUCAAACCAUUUGUACUCUUCGUGACUGAUGCUUGCGGCAAAAGGCAGACCUAACUCAGGAAAGACUUCUGCAUCCCGGCUCUGCCUUCCUUCAAACAAAAACUUAUGUCCAGUUUAACAGCCCGCCUUAGGAGCUCCAUAUGAACCUAACACAGCCCUUGCACAAGAUGGUAAUUGCUGUCCCUCCCUGUUUUCACUGUGUAGUUGAUUUUUGUGCCUUGGUUGCUGUGAGUCACUUUAUUUAGACUAUCUCAGGAACCUGUGAGGCUGGACCUAAGUAAUGACAUUGAUUUGUUUUGGGGUAUGAAAUUAAAUUACACCUGAACCAAACUAGCUAUUUGGGGAAGAAACAUUUGCCAACUUUAACAGGAUAAAAUUCCACCAGCGUGUAAUGCUUUAUUGAGUGAAAUACAAAGUGAAAUACUUUGGAGAAAGGUUUCCAGUUCAUAAAACACUUUCAAAACAUGGAUUGACCUUACAUAUUGUGGGCCAUUAUCAUUUUUCUCUUUGCAAGCUAACUUCAAAUUGUUCUGCAGAUUCAUUGCACCAAGAACUAAGAGAUAAAGUUUGUACCCAAAAGCUGGACCCUGUGGGAGAUGCAGGAGAUUUCUGAAAAUGCUAAGCUCUAUUUAGACUGACAUUCUAAAACCCUGACUUCCUCAGAAGGUGGACUGCGAACUCCCUCUGAAGGAGGAAGUCAGUAAACCCCUACAGUAAAAGUAAUGCCCAUUUUCCAGUUCAGAUUUUAUUUCUGCUGUGACCCUCAUCAGAUUUGAAAUUGUAAACAGGAGAUUAGAAGGUAUUUUCUAAUUAAUCAGAAUUGAACACCUUUAUCAUGGUCUGCAAACCAUAAUGCCGUUCUGCGCUUCUCUGUGCUUUCUUGUUGGUGCCGUGG